UGGUUCAAGGUGAAAAUCGUCUCAUUAAUACUGGCUGGCGUGUUAAAGAUGUGCUUUAUCAAACAUAAUCGGAAAAAUCGAAGGGCUAUAGAAAAGAAGUUGAAAAUGUUUCUCCCACUUUUUAAUGGACGCAUUUCUAUAGCCAACUCAACGAGUAUGGCCUUUUUCUUCUCGCAGUUGGAAGCCUGGUCGGAUUAUGCGUCAAUAACUGUGCAAGCGCGUCUGCACAAUGUACAUGCUGCUUGCCAUUGAAGUAUGCGGGAAGUCAAGAAUUUUCGUUUGGAGUAACUAAGUAACCAGAAGAGAGCAAUCCAAUUGAACUUGGGACCGCCGCAGAUGCAGGUACAGAUAAAAAAACAAUGUAAAACAUAUUAGAUUAACAGCAGUACCUUGGCAUUACCUAUCCUCCUACGAAAGUCGCACUCUAUGACCUCGAUUGGAUGGGCGUUGGCAAUCAUAAGGUCACUGCGUGACCUGAUUUAAAUUGACUAUAAUCAAAUCAUCCAUGCUGUUAUCGAAAACGAUUGCCUAAAACAACGGCUCGAUGGUGGUCGUUUUGUUGUUUUUGUCAAAAUAACCGAUGCGACUCGGAGGUCUUUAAAAUGCAUAUGAACUGUGCAUAUAAAAUGGUACUUUGGUAUCUUUUUUGGAUUUGGGAUAUUUCGUAAAAUCAUGUAUAAU